rnacentral:rRNA from 1 species
GAUUCUGGCUCAGGAUGAACGCUAGCUACAGGCUUAACACAUGCAAGUCGAGGGGCAGCAGGACGAUAGCUUGCUAUUGUUGCUGGCGACCGGCGCGACGGGUGGGUAACGCGUAUCCAACCUGGCCCGUAGUAGGGAAUAGCCCGGCGAAAGUCGGAUUAAUGCCCUAUGUUUUCCUUUGAGGACAUCUGAUUUGGAAUAAAGGUUCACCGCUAUGGGAUGGGGAUGCGUCUGAUUAGCUUGUCGGCGGGUAACGGCCCACCGAGGCAACGAUCAGUAGGGGUUCUGAGAGGAAGGUCCCCCACAUUGGUACUGAGACACGGACCAAACUCCUACGGGAGGCAGCAGUGAGGAAUAUUGGUCAAUGGGCGAGAGCCUGAACCAGCAAAGUAGCGUGCCAGGAAGACUGCCCUAUGGGUUGUAAACUGCUUUUAUGCGGGAAUAAAGUGCACUACGUGUAGUGUUUUGUAUGUACCGCAUGAAUAAGGACCGGCUAAUUCCGUGCCAGCCGCCGC